rnacentral:lncRNA from 1 species
AGAAAUACCAAUAUGAAACCUCUCCAUCAUUCUGCAUAUUUGAGAUUACAACUUCUUCGUGAACAUUUUUGGGAUGUGGAUGACAAACUGACCUGUCUUUCUAGUAUAUCUUUAACCGAUGUGGAGGCAUUUAUCCCACAACUUCUUUCUCAGGCAUGUAUAGUACAGUUUUUUUGCUAGAAGUCAAUUUUUUCAUUAAUAAAAUAAAGGUACAAUGCCCUUGUACAAAUUGAAGAUAAAAUAAAAUAGAUAGGCAUGAGCUAAGACUUUUUCCUAUAUAUCAAUAACAACUAGUGGUAAAAUCUGUGUAGUCUCAGGGGAUUGGACUCCCAUAAUUGCAUGGUAGUAAUCUCUAAUUGAGAGCAAGUCCUUGAAAUCCUAAUAUUUGAAAGAGAGUCUGAUGUCCUUGGAUAUUUUAUAUGAACAUUAAUAAGUUAAUAUGAUAUUAUGAUGGUUACUUUUCAUAUCUGAUGAAAUUUCAACCUUUAUAAAAAAAUGGUCACUUUAAUCUGGAUUAUUUUGUUUUUCUUUUCUAAUGUUAGGAUUGUGAAAGUUGUAUCUGGAUUAAUAAGAUUUGUUUAAUAUUUUUUGCUCUUUAUUUAUUUUUUAAAUAAUGUCAGUCUAAAUUUAAUUUAAUUUAAUUUAAUUUUGCUACAAAUCCUAAAAAAUUCAGCUACAUAUUGAAGCCAUUUGUCAUGGAAAUCUUUGUCAAGAAACAGCUAUCAAUCUUUCAGAUAUUUUUACAACUGUUUUUCCUGCAAAACCAUUGCCAAUGGACCUUAGGCAUCAAGAGCGUGUUCUUUGCCUUCCAUCUGGUUCCACCUUUGUCAGAACUGUAUCC